ACCGGGAAAACCAGGUCGCCUCUCCCUCCCCUCCCCUGACCAUCUAUUAGGGCAAAACACACAAACGCGCCGCCGCCAGCCCUGUCUAACUCUUCCCCGGCCGUCUGCUCCUCAUGUCCCCGUCAGCCAAGUUCCCUCCUCUAGGUGAUCCCUCUCAGCUGUGACGGUGAUGCCCGUCGACCAAUUGCAGCCGUCAGAAUCGCCGGCCGGCGCGCAGCAGGGUGAGAAACCAUGGACAACUCCGGCGAGGAAGGGUGUGUUGCUGCGGUGUCGGCUGCGGGGAUGAGGCGCCUCAUGAGAUUGAGUAUAUUUGCAUGCGCUGGGGCGAGAAUGGCACCACGAGGUUGCUGUUGACUACGAUUCCCAUGUUCCAGGAGGUGAGGUUCUGCCUGCUUUGUGAAAGUUUGUUGCUCUGAUUGGAGAACGGUGGUAAAUCUGCAUGUUGUUGUGAUGACUUUCGAAUGCCCGCAUUGUAAUGAAAGGUAAUGCAACGCUCGUCUAUAAUUUACGGGGCACUUCUGCACGUGCAAGUGCAGUAUCUUUCUAUGUUCUUAUGAAUUAGGAACAAACGAGGCCCAGUUUGCUUGGCAGCCCCAGCCCAAUAACCAAGGAUCAUUUGUGGCUACAAAUGAGAUGCUGCAUUGUUCAUCAUGGCUAUUGGUCUGCACUGCAAGUCUGUAACCGAGAUCAGAGCGUUGUGUGCAGAUAACUGACGGAAAGGAGCUCCUAAAGGGAAGGACUUACACUGACAAUCGUCAUAUCAAGAAGGUACACUUCACCAAGGCUACAAUAUAAAGAAGCACAUCGAGAGAUCUUUCCAGGAACCACAUGCUGCAAUAAACAUAUGUGAAGUGAACAGAGGAACAUACUUGGUUUUCAUGAGAUCAACUGUCUAAUACUCUCGAAAACAAAUAUAUUUGAAUAAAAUUGUUUGCAUUGGGUAUCUAAAGAUGUAUAUUUUUCUACUAGGUUGCUUCCCUUGUAAAGAACAUCUUGAUUCAAGACAGAUGGAAUAUUUCAUAUAUACAAUUGCCUCUUUAUUAC